rnacentral:rRNA from 1 species
UGGGCAACCUGCCCUUGACACUGGAAUAACAGUUGGAAACAGCUGCUAAUACCGGGUACGACCUGGUGCGGCAUCGCACAAGGUGGAAAGCUCCGGCGGUCAAGGAUGGGCUCGCGGCCUAUCAGCUAGUUGGUGAGGUAACGGCUCACCAAGGCGACGGACGGGUAGCCGGCCUGAGGAGGGUGACCCGGCCACACGUGGGACUGACGACACCGGCCCAGACCUCCGUACGGGAGCAGC